AGCGAACGCUGGCGGCAGGCUUAACACAUGCAAGUCGAGCGGGCCCUUCGGGGUCAGCGGCGGACGGGUGAGUAACGCGUGGGAACGUGCCCUCUGGUCUGGAAUAACCCUGGGAAACUAGGGCUAAUACCGGAUACGCCCUUUUGGGGAAGGGCUUGCUGCCGGAGGAUCGGCCCGCGUCUGAUUAGCUAGUUGGUGGGGUAACGGCCUACCAAGGCGACGAUCAGUAGCUGGUCUGAGAGGAUGAUCAGCCACACUGGGACUGAGACACGGCCCAGACUCCUACGGGAGGCAGCAGUGGGGAAUAUUGGACAAUGGGCGCAAGCCUGAUCCAGCCAUGCCGCGUGAGUGAUGAAGGCCUUAGGGUUGUAAAGCUCUUUUAUCCGGGACGGUAAUGACGGUACCGGAGGAAUAAGCCCCGGCCAACUUCGUGCCAGCCGCCGCGGUAA
rnacentral:rRNA from 1 species